CCUACGGGUGACAGCAGUGGGGAAUAUUGCACAAUGGGGGAAACCCUGAUGCAGCGACGCCGCGUGAGUGAAGAAGUAAUUCGUUAUGUAAAGCUCUAUCAGCAGGGAAGAAAAUGACGGUACCUGAUUAAGAAGCCCCGGCUAACUACGUCCCAGCAGCCGCGGUAAUAAGUAGGGGGCAAGCGUUAUCCGGAGGUACUGGGUGGAAGGGGAGCGUAGACGGCAGUGCAAGUCUGGAGUGAAAGGCGGAGGCUCAACCACCGGACUGCUCUGGAAACUGUACGGCUGGAGUGCAGGAGAGGUAAGUGGAAUUCCUAGUGUAGCGGUGAAAUGCGUAGAUAUUAGGAGGAACACCAGUGGCGAAGGCGGCUUACUGGACUGUAACUGACGUUGAGGCUCGAAAGCGUGGGGAGCAAACAGGAUUAGAUACCCUUGUAGUC
rnacentral:rRNA from 1 species